GUGAGCAUAGUUUAAAUAAAACCUUAGAUUGUGAUUCUAAAAAUGAGAGAUAACAUCUCUCUGCUUACC
rnacentral:tRNA from 1 species